UACGUAGGUGGCAAGCGUUGUCCGGAUUUACUGGGCGUAAAGAGCGCGCAGGCGGUCGUUCAAGUCGCGUGUGAAAGCCCCCGGCUCAACUGGGGAGGGUCACGCGAUACUGAUCGACUCGAAGGCAGGAGAGGGUAGUGGAAUUCCCGGUGUAGUGGUGAAAUGCGUAGAUAUCGAGAGGAACACCUGAGGUGAAGACGGGUUGCUGGGCUGACACUGACGCUGAAGCGCGAAAGCCAGGGGAGCAAACGGG
rnacentral:rRNA from 1 species